rnacentral:rRNA from 1 species
GACGAACGCUGGCGGCGUGCUUAACACAUGCAAGUCGAACGGAAAGGCCCUGCUUUUGUGGGGUGCUCGAGUGGCGAACGGGUGAGUAGCACGUGAGUAACCUGCCCUUGACUUUGGGAUAACUUCAGGAAACUGGGGCUAAUACCGGAUAGGAGCUCCUGCUGCAUGGUGGGGGUUGGAGAGUUUCGGCGGUUGGGGAUGGACUCGCGGCUUAUCAGCUUGUUGGUGGGGUAGUGGCUUACCAAGGCUUUGACGGGUAGCCGGCCUGAGAGGGUGACCGGCCACAUUGGGACUGAGAUACGGCCCAGACUCCUACGGGAGGCAGCAGUGGGGAAUAUUGCACAAUGGGCGGAAGCCUGAUGCAGCAACGCCGCGUGCGGGAUGACGGCCUUCGGGUUGUAAACCGCUUUCGCCUGUGACGAAGCGUGAGUGACGGUAAUGGGUAAAGAAGCACCGGCUAACUACGUG